UGGGGAAUUUUGGACAAUGGGCGAAAGCCUGAUCCAGCAAUGCCGCGUGUGUGAAGAAGGCCUUCGGGUUGUAAAGCACUUUUGUCCGGAAAGAAAUCCUUGGCUCUAAUACAGUCGGGGGAUGACGGUACCGGAAGAAUAAGCACCGGCUAACUACGUGCCAGCAGCCGCGGUAAUACGUAGGGUGCAAGCGUUAAUCGGAAUUACUGGGCGUAAAGCGUGCGCAGGCGGUUUGCUAAGACCGAUGUGAAAUCCCCGGGCUCAACCUGGGAACUGCAUUGGUGACUGGCAGGCUAGAGUAUGGCAGAGGGGGGUAGAAUUCCACGUGUAGCAGUGAAAUGCGUAGAGAUGUGGAGGAAUACCGAUGGCGAAGGCACGCCCCCUGGGCCAAUACCUGACGCUCAUGCACGAAAGCGUGGGGAGCAAACAGGAUUAGAUACCCUGGUAGUCCACGCCCUAAACGAUGUCAACUAGUUGUUGGGGAUUCAUUUCCUUAGUAACGUAGCUAACGCGUGAAGUUGACCGCCUGGGGAGUACGGUCGCAAGAUUAAAACUCAAAGGAAUUGACGGGGUCAUAGCUGUUUCCU
rnacentral:rRNA from 1 species